rnacentral:rRNA from 1 species
UUAUUUGAGAGUUUGAUCCUGGCUCAGGAUGAACGCUGGCGGCGUGCCUAACACAUGCAAGUUGAGCGAUUUACUUCGGUAAAGAGCGGCGGACGGGUGAGUAACGCGUGGGUAACCUACCCUGUACACACGGAUAACAUACCGAAAGGUAUGCUAAUACGGGAUAAUAUAUUUGAGAGGCAUCUCUUGAAUAUCAAAGGUGAGCCAGUACAGGAUGGACCCGCGUCUGAUUAGCUAGUUGGUAAGGUAACGGCUUACCAAGGCGACGAUCAGUAGC